CACGCUUUUCAGGCAAGUUGGGACAUACCUGAAGUCAAGUUUUCAAAAGCUUGUGAGGAGAAGUGAUGAUGCCUCCACUGCCAUCCAGAAGCAGAGCUUCAAGCCAGCUAUAUGUAGUUCAACCAGCUCUAAAUACAAUGUAUUAAAAAUGUUACUGGAUGUGACCAUGAGUAACCUGAUUAAACAGUGAAGUCAUCCCUGCUUCAUGUAAGAGAGUGGAUCAUAUGACCUGCAGAGGUUCCUUCCUACCUAAAUUAUUCCAUGAUUCUCCAUGGCAUCCUGUAGCUCUUGGUGAAUUAUGCCAUACUCACAUAGGCAAAUGUGUGGAAAAUAACCAUCUUCAGUCCUGCUUUUCCAGUCUUUCAAGGCUGUGCAUGUGAUGCAGAAGCUCAGUACUCCUGAAGUGAAGAUCUGUGAGAUGUUCCUCAAGUGUGUGCUGUCCCAGAACUACCACUCUUGACCCAACUCUGACAACUGAUAAAAGCUGAGGGAAUGAACCAGUGCUCGACUGGGUACAAGUUGUGUCAUACAUCAGCCCCCUGGAAAAGACACAUGAUGGAAUUUCAUCUGGAGUUACCAGCUUCAUUGCCACUGCCCAAUGUAGUGGAUGUUUUGCUGGAGUGGCCGCCUGAAAGCUGAGCACCUGAAAUUGCAGCAGUGUCUGUGACCUUAAGCAUGUUGGAAGGAGGAAAAACAAUUAAGUGAAUGUGACAGUAAAGCAUGAAGAGGCACAGGGCUGCAAUGACGAAAAGGAGGCUGGGAAGGACUGGGCUUCACUGGUUCAGGCAGCUGGUACCAUGCUUUGGACUUCCAUCUAUUGCAAUUCCUGAGAGAACAAUCUUGAGAAAGGGUAAUAGAACUACACAAAUACCUUCACAGAUGAGAUUGUGUUUAGAACUGUAUAAAGGGGAAAUAACCGAGAGAAAAUGGACAAUCACUGCCAUGUGUGCCUGAUGAAGUAGGAGCUGGAGAUGAAAAUAAUUUGGGAAAACCAUAGCCAUUACAACUGGCCCCAAGGAAACGUGGUGUUGCUGCUUACACCUGCAAACAGGGACUGUCCAUGAGGAUACGUGAUGCUCUGCAAAGCUGCCACCUUAGGAAAACCAGCAAGUCAUUUCACAUAAAACCUGAUGACCACGGAGAGACCAUGAGAUCCAUGCAAAGUUGGGAACUGUAAGGUAAGGCAAAACAAGUAGUGGCUAAACCCCAAGGAAAUGGGAAACUCGAAGGGACCUUGUUGACAAGUUAUUGUUCUCUAACACAAAAAAAAACCCCAAGACCAUGAACAAAUAUAGAAAAAGGGAAGGUAAAAAUAAAGUUCAGGGGAAAAAAGCCCAUAGAAUAUAAAAAUGGCAAAGCUUUUUUUCUUAAUUGGGAAUGCUUAUGAGAAAUGAUGAAAAAUGCUACCAUGAAUCGUGUCUGAAAACGAGAUAAAUUGGUAAAAAUGUUUGAUGGGUGACACCAAUUAUAGUGAAGAGAUACCAUUUUCUUAAUCAGAAAGAAAAGAAACAAAGCAAAACAGUGAAUUCAGUUACAGAUCUGAGCACUCAGACAUUCUCAAGCAGUUAUAAAUAGGCUGUUCAAAGAGGGUAGUUUGUGGGACACAUAAUUCCAGCUGACAUGAGGAGUUGUUGGAAAGCAAGAGGAAACCUGUCUGUGAGCAGCUUGUUGGAGUAACAGCGUGUGACUGCACUCAAAACAAGUCUCCUAAAGAGCCCUCUCCUUCUGUUCCAGCAAUGGAUUUUUGGCAGUGACAGGGAGUGCCAAGAAACGUGGAAGAGAAAACCCAGGAGUUUGGCCUGAGAGGCAAGAAGAGCUGAGACAAUGAAGUAAAACUGCUGCCUUGGUACUCAGAAAGCUGGCUGGUCCAUCUUCCCUGGGAUCAGCUGUGGGACCAGGUGUGCUGGUCACUGGGAGGUUGUCAAAGUGGGCAGUGGGACACUGGUCAAGAGAUGCUGUUGAGCUGAUCAAGCAGCACCCUGGAGUGAAGCCAGAGGAUGAAGUGCUCUCGGAGUGUUUCAGGGCCCUUGAGACAACACGAAGAACUUCUCCUGUUUCAGAGAAUCAGAGUAAUCCAGUUACAUGAAUACAACUCUGUGCUUAAUCACAGCUGACCAGCAAAGAUCCUGGGCAGAUCCAGAGAGCUGAUGAUCAAUAAGCAAAACACACUGGAGGGGGCAAAUAUCAACUACAUUGGAAGGUGUGAAUGGAAGAGUGUCCUGAUCCUCAGGACAAUAGAAGAGGAAGCUUCUACCUUCUAGUAGCAGUGACCUCCUAGGCUUUGAGUCAAGAAAUUGCUUUGCCUGUUUCAAACCCAGUCUGAAUUUCCAUCCACCAAGAAUCAAAACUGACCAUCUGGUGAUACGGGAGUCAUUCAUGGUGGUGUUAUGCAAGGUUCAUGUUUCAGAGGACCAAAUGAAUCUGGAUUUUUCAGCUGGACACAGCAAUCUGGGUUAAAGGAGUCAUUGCAGUUCUGAGGCUCACUGGUGCUCGAAGCCCCCUUCAAACAAGAGCCAGGUCCUAGGGCUGCAGAGCUGAGAGGACAAAGUGCUGCAGGUCAAGGUGGAAAGCAUCUACCACAGCAGAUUUUCAGCCUCUCUGAAGUGACUAAAAAUGGUCAGUGAAGGAACUGGACAAAAAGAAAGAAUGGACUUGAGAGACUUGAACUGGUGUAACUAUCAAAUCAAAACAACAUCAAGGAUUCUCCUAAAGCUCCUGGAGUUUGAGCAAAUGUCCAAGAGGCUGAGAGCACCAGAACUCAUUUGUAGGAAUUUCCACAAAUCAAUGUUUUGUGGGGCAACUUCAAGGCACUCCUGCAGUUUUUCCAGCAAUGGGUGGUGACCCUCAGGUUCCUGAUGGAGGUUUGUGCUGGGAGUGCAAUUCUGAUGUCACGUUUACAGAAAUAAGUCAACACACUCUGCACGUUUUGAGGAAGGUCUGGAACUGGUUGCAGAUUCAUACUGAAAUUAGCCAAACCUUCAUUUUACUCAGAUGGGACUUUGGGAGCUCCUCAACUUCCCUUCUCGCGCUGUGGACAUCCAGGAAUGUCAGAGCUCUGAAAAGGAUCCUGCCACCAAAGAAUGGCUCCAACCCACCCUGCAUCUACUGCUACCAGAAAACAGGUGUUCAGCAAUCCCUGAGGGAAAGUUUGGGUGAUUUGAAGCCUUCAAAUGCAGCUGCCCCUGUGCAGGUUCAGCUCAGUCCCACUUGCCAGCUGGCCAGCCCUCCCUUCCUUCUUGUUUUUCCAAUGAACGAAGUGCUUAAAAACCUGAAAGCAAACAAACCAAAGAGGCCUUGACAUGGAGAUGACAACCACUGGGGAUCAGAGCAAGAGCCACGGGGAAUCACAGCUGCGUGGCUCCAUCUGCAGCCUCCACCAUCUGCAGAGGGGAAAGCAACUGCAGCAGACAAACUGCAGCAGCAAGAGCUGUGUUUGCAAAGGAGAAACACUCUUCUUGCCCAGCACCAAAAAAGGAGGGUUUGCAUCAUCACCCAUGAAGAGGAGGAGGAUUUCCUGCUCAGACCACUCUCCUGCCAUAAGGUUGCAGAUGAUGCACAGGAAGCAAAUCUUCUGAUGUCUUGUGAGCAUAAAAAUGCUAGAUCCUUACAUGGUGCAAAGGAAAGGAGCUCCAUUGUCUUCAGGUUACUUUCAUGGCUGUGUCUCACAUUUGUCACAAAGCUUCAGCAAGUACAAUGGAAUGUAUCCAUCUUCUCACUUUAAUCUUAGAAGAGGAGUUCAAAUGUCUCUGGGUGUGUAUGUAUCUUCCAUACAUCUUUUUAAUGUAGUCUCUCCUGGGGUAAGAAGUAUAUGGAGCCUUAACAACAUGUCUUUUUUCCAGAAAGAAUUCUGUUGAGAUUAAGUUCCUCUGUCUGCAUGUUUAUCAACAUAUUUUCUCAUUGAGUGUUUUCUUACUUUUCCCUUUGUGACUUUUUAUCUAAAAGUAAUUACUGAAUUUUCUCAUCAGAACAGGGCAUGCCCCUCUAAAAGGAAACAAGUACCUUUUGACAGUACAGCCAGGCCAUUACCAGUCUUACUUUCACCUGAAAUUCUUUGAUUUACUUCUUUAUCACAGGAUAUCUUGUUUUACAGCCUGAAUGUCUCUUUUUGGAUGAAUUGUCAGAUACAGAAGGAAGUCAAGAACCUCCUGUUGUACAUGGCAACAAUUUCCAUAAAAUGUUUCCAUUGUAGGAACAAAUAAUCAAAUUAAAAUUUGGGAUACUGAUUCAAUCAAGGAAGCAUGAUACAUCAUCCUGCUGAA